rnacentral:rRNA from 1 species
UACGUAGGGUGCAAGCGUUGUCCGGAAUUAUUGGGCGUAAAGAGCUUGUAGGCGGUUUGUCGCGUCUGCUGUGAAAUUUCGGGGCUCAACCCCGAACUUGCAGUGGGUACGGGCAGACUAGAGUGUGGUAGGGGAGACUGGAAUUCCUGGUGUAGCGGUGAAAUGCGCAGAUAUCAGGAGGAACACCGAUGGCGAAGGCAGGUCUCUGGGCCUGUACUGACGCUGAGGAACGAAAGCGUGGGGAGCGAACAGG